rnacentral:rRNA from 1 species
UACGGAGGGGGCUAGCGUUGUUCGGAAUUACUGGGCGUAAAGCGCACGUAGGCGGAUUGGAAAGUUGGGGGUGAAAUCCCAGGGCUCAACCCUGGAACUGCCUUCAAAACUCCCAGUCUGGAGGUCGAGAGAGGUGAGUGGAAUUCCGAGUGUAGAGGUGAAAUUCGUAGAUAUUCGGAGGAACACCAGUGGCGAAGGCGGCUCACUGGCUCGAUACUGACGCUGAGGUGCGAAAGCGUGGGGAGCAAACAGGA